rnacentral:misc_RNA from 1 species
CCGAGUGAGGGCCCCCGGCCCGACCUCCAACCCUUUGUUGACCCACCUGUUGCCUCGGGGGCGACCCGGCCUCCGCGCCGGGGUCCCCGGUGGACCAACCCAACUCUGUAUCUGUGCGUCCGAGUACUUUGCAAAUCAAUCA